AAACAUAGAUUGGUUGCCUCUCACACGCCCCCAACCAGGGACCUGGCCUGCAACCCAGGCACAUGCCCCGACUGAGAAUUGAACCAGCGACCUUUCGGUUCACAGGCCAGUGCUCAGUCCACUGAGCCACACCAACCAGGGUGGGAAACAUAUUGAAAUAGUAGUAUUUGCACCUUCCCCCAGACCCAUUUCCUUGUAUGUGACCCACCCCCUAGUCAGUCAGGGGCAUUCUUGAAGGGACAUUGCCUUCAAGAAUUAGUCCUUUUAUAGCAAGAAU